rnacentral:rRNA from 1 species
AUGGCCUCUGAUUUUGAAAAUAAUGUGAAAGAAUUUAUGGUCUCUCAAAAGAAUUUUAAUGCCUUGCAUGAAGAAAAAUUGCUCAAAGUUGAUGAUUUGGCUAGGAAUGUUGAUAGACUUUCGCUUGAUGUUGAUUCUCUUAAACUUAGAUCUUGUUCUCCUAAGCAUGAUAUAAAUGAGUCUCUCAAAGCAAUAAGAGUGUCCAUUGACAAAUGCAAAGAAAGAACCGCUAGAUUGCGUGCUAAGAAAGAUUGCUUUGUUAAAGCGUGUUCUUCUAGUUCCCAUGAAAAUAAUGAUGAAGAUCUUAAAGUUAUUGAUGUGUCUCCUAUUAGAUCUUUGUUUUGCAAUAUGAAUCUUGAUAAUAAUGGGACCGGAGAUGAGUCAACUUUAUUUAGAAGGCGUCCCAAGAAUUCAGAAUUUUUAGAUCUUGAUGCUAAAUUUGGUAAAAGUGGGAUUGGAGAGGUCAUGACUUUAAAUAAUAUUGAACCCACUAUCUUGGAUUUCAAGGAAUUUGAUUAUUGUAAUUGUUCUUUAGAAAUUUGUAUUUCCUUGUUGCAAUCCAUUGUUAAUUCUCCUCAUGCUUAUAGUCAAAAUAAAGCUUCUACCAAACAUAUUGUUGAUGCCUUGAUGCAAUCUUUUGAUGAAAAACUUAAUUUGGAAGUUUCUAUACCUAGAAAACUUAAUGAUGAGUGGUAA